rnacentral:lncRNA from 1 species
GUACAGAUAUAGUGUCAUGGAGCAUCAACGUGGAUACUGUUUUGAGUUGGCGUGUCAUUUGAAAUUUUUUAUUUGAAUUUGGCGGGUUGGCAUGCCAUUAUUUAUAAUCUUAAGUGGACUUGAGAACAGUGAUAAAGAAAUUGGCAUCCCACUCAACUGAUUGCAGGAUUCUGGAGUAGUAGUCAAGGUAUGGUUGUCUUAAGUUAUAGAUUUGAAGAAUAAACAUUAUCUUUUCAAUUGCAUAUAAUGUUGCCGUCUGUACAAGUGGCUAUGAAAUGCAUAAAGAGGGUUGCGUCUCAACUUGAUGCAUUGGAUGGACCGAUAAAGAACCAAACAGAGUUUUUUCUGCUUCAAGGUGCUGAUCGAUAUGGUGCAGAAUGGAAAGGGGGGCUAGAACUUUCAACUUGACACUUAUAAUUGAGAAACAUAGGCUGAUCGAUAUUAUGAACUAUAUCUGAGUCAAUGUGAAUGCCCUCUUGGUUGAGGAAUUAAGUGUUCCCGAGCAUCUUCGCUUCAAAAAACUGGUUGAUGGAACGUUGAUUACUGUUAGAGAAGACCUUGGAAAACACACCAAGAAAUGGUGCAGGCUAGGUUGCGUUGUUUGUGACAAAAACGAUUAGUGCCACCAGUAUUGAUGCUACUAGACUUCAUGCGCCAUACGGGUACUUGAAUGUUUGGAGAAAUAUAUAACUGAACAUGCUACUGGUGAUGCAGGUACACAUUCGGUUAUCUCCAAAGAAAACAACUUUGUACAAGCAAAGGAGCUGAGUUCAUAUUAUUACUCUUCGAUACCUGUGAUCCUUCUGUGAAAACAAUACUUGAGUCAAGGGGUACUGCUAUCACUGUUGCAGCAAUUGGCAUGUGAUAUUGGGAAUGAUACAUCUAAGAAACUUGGUUGGAUGAUGGAUCUGGUGGUGGUGAUUAAACCAACUGAUGGGAUCAUCACAAUGUAUAUAAGGCCGAUAUUUGAACAAGUGUACUCGAUCAGAUGAUUGUUCCCACAACUUUAGUUGCUGAGCUUUCCAGUAUUCGUGUGGUCACGAAACUCAUAAACUCGACGUUAAGGAGCAUGUAAGUAAUUUAGAGAUUAUUAGAAUUUUUGUAAUCAGAAUUGGACAUUUUGGUUUCACUUAGUAUUUUUUUUUU